rnacentral:lncRNA from 1 species
GACUCCAAGGCAGCGCUACUCCAAAAAGACAGAAGACUGUUUUUCGGAUACUGAGAGCCGAGUCGACUUCGAAAUAGUCCAAGUCAACUCCAAGACUGCACGAGCCAAAAGACAGAAGAACAGGAGUUCGGGCUCUGAGCGCCGAGUCGACUCCCAGAAUUUUCGAGUCAACUCGAGUGAGCAAAGUUGAAGAAUACCUCUAUGGAUUCCUUGGAAUGAGUCGACUCCAAAAGUGCAAGGUCAGCUCCAGAAUUUGGGGAGUCGACUCUUGGUUAAGUCGAGUCGACUCCCAGUCGAGAAGCUCACUUUAAUUCAAAUUCGGAACAGUUGGUGAGUCGACUCCAGAAAAGCAUGAGUCGACUCCUGCUGCAGCCGAGUCGACUCCAGAUCGCGCGAGUCGACUCCGAUCCCAACGGAAACAUUGUCAGGAUAUGCAGAAUGUGCAGCACGGCUAGUAGAUUGUGUCUAACGGCUAGUUUCCGUGGGGAAUGGCUUAAAUAGCCACAGAGGACUGUAGCAAAGGAGGGAAGUGACAUUCCUUUCAAAGAAAACACAAAAAC